AGGGAGGGGGCUGCGUCAGUUAGAUCCAUUGGGGAACAGCUCCUGUGGGGGAGGGAGAACGGACGGGGCUGCCUCCCACAUUUAUUGCAGCAGAAAGCACCAUGGGAUAUGCCCCCAGAAGUCCCAGUGGCACGCACGGUGGAGCUCAGCACCAGGGGGGACAGAGUAAAUUGGGUGAACGGGCGCCCAGUGCCGCUCCCGGUGAAGAUCUCUGAUGCUGUGUCUGUGCGUGAGUCUCAGGGCGGCGUGGCCGUGGUCCAGGCCUUGGGGAUGCAGGUUCUGUUCAGCCCCAGUAGGGAGGUGACAGUGAGGGUCAGCGAGAGCCUGGCUAACAAGCUGUGCUCAUCCUGCAGGAACUUCAAUGGUGACGUCUCCGACGACCUGCGGCUGCCCAGCGGGGGGGGUCACAGGGAACAUCACUGAGGUUAUCGAUGCCUGGAAGGCCAGAGACUUCUCCAGGUGGUGUGUGGCUCUGCAGAUGCUGCCCUUUCCUCUGAUCUUUCUAUGAUGGCCUAUAGGUACCUCCAUGGGGAGGAGAUUUCGGAUAGCAGAGUGAUGUCUAAACAAAAUCCUGGCUGCUGAAGCAUCUUCCCACCCUGGAGUGAACCCAACUGCCGUCUUAGCUAGGAAUUGCUCAUAGGGCCAUAACUGUAGCCCUCAUGACUUUCUGUGUCCUCUAGGGUAUUUAAUGAGAAAAAGACUUUGUUCUGUUUGUCAAUAAAAACAAAUAAAC